rnacentral:lncRNA from 1 species
CAGUUCAGUAACAUUGUAAAAUAGGGAGCCAAAGAAUGGAGGAGCCAGUAGGAGGGAAGGGGGCUAUGAGACAUGGUCUUCUGCACACUACACGUGCACUCAUGAACACUUUACCACCUGCACAAGAUAGGGGUCCAUUAUCACCCCAUCAUGCCCACUGGGGAGAGGCUCCUGAGACUCCACCCUUCCUUGUUAAUGGUGGCUGGGCAGCAACGGAGGUUAUCAUUUUCUUCAGUGGUAUAACCAAUGGGAUCCUAAGUCAGAGAAAAGCUUUACAAAGUAAGCCGGUGGGAUGGCGGAACUGGCUGGAUUGAAAAUUAUAGCAAGGAGACCUGGUCUGAGUGCUGAACUUGCCUUUACCUGAAGAGUGGCAACCUGUGGGCGAAGAUGGAUGUUGGAUGAGCGGGGAGUAGAAGAGAAAGCAAUCUGGAAGCAGCUUUCUGUUGUGCAGGCAGGCACUGGCAGACACAGCACACACGGGCAGCACUGGAGAGAAGGGGCUGGCCUUGCCAGCUGAACACCCAAACCCCCAGCAUCACCUACACAAACACAGAUGAAACAGACCGGAAGAUGGGCAGAGAACGUCCUCUGGGGCAAGAAAAUAAUAAUCCAUAGAUGCUAACGAAACGGAGAGGUAACAAUCUAUCACUGAAAGGAGUCAGGGCAAAAAUUCAAGUUGAUAACUGAACACAAGAACUGAAGCAGAAACCAAGGAGGAGAAACCAAGCCAUCUCCUGGAAACACAAUACCAAGAAUAACAAAGCAACAA